AGAUGCAGUCCAAGACGGGAUAG
rnacentral:snRNA from 1 species